rnacentral:tRNA from 1 species
AACCGUCUAGCUUAGUUGGUAGAGCACAAGACUCUUAACCUUGUGGUUGUGGGUUUGAGCCCUACGGUGGGCG